rnacentral:lncRNA from 1 species
AUGGAAAUAAUCCAUAAUUCUUUUCUUCUUCUUUUUUUUAAAACUGAUUUUAAGUUAUGUACCGAGUUAAUGAUUUUCUUUCCAUUCACUGUGCUCUUCCUUUUAUUUUGGUUCAUGUGGAAAAUGUUUAUGGUAGGCUUUUGGAAGCUUGGUGACAAAUUCAGAGUCUAUAAAGUCCACGCUCUUCCAUUUAAAAAAGGGAAAAGGAAAGGAAGGAAGGGACAUUCAAUUUAAAAGAAAAUAACUGAAAAUAAUAGAUAACUGAGUCACUUGUUGUGUAGGGUUAAGUUUAAAAGUCCUCUCAGGUUGGUUUUUUUUUGCUUAAAGUCACAUCACUUAGCCUGUAAUUCUUCGUUGGUCCCAGCAUACCUGUGUCUGAAAAUGCUCAGAAAUCUGGAGAAAUUCAAGCAGGGAAUGUCCCAUGUGGCAGAGCACUACCUUGUUUAUUUGUCCCCAAGCUCACAGAUACACCCUCCUCUCUAGAGACACCCUCUUCUCUAAAAAUGCCAGAGGGUCCUGACUCCAGCCCACUUGGCUCAGUGAGGCAAGGUAAGAUCUCUCCCAGAAGAUGUGUAAGUCCUGGUUUCCAGAGAUCUCCAGGGACUCAAGUGGAGUCCGGGGAUACAGCGCUUAUACUUUGUGUGAAUGUGUGAGUGUGAACUGAGCUAAGAAACAAAAUGUAAGGUAACGUGGAACAUCCUAAUUGCAGAAUAAGCAGUACUGGCCGUGCUCAGCUUAAAAGGUGCUUCGUAAAUCCUUACUGGGAGGAACAAUAGAAACCUGAAGCUAAAGAUGAGGACUGAGGCCCAGCGAGGUCAGUGGCGAGAUCGGGAAUUAAAUGCUGUACUUUUGCUGUCCCCGGGCACACCCUUUCUUCCAUGUUCCAGUGUCCCAGCCACCUUCACAAAAGACCCACACAUCGCCUGGUGCUGGACACAUGACACUCUGUCUUUAUGGUUGGUGGCUGGAAGUAAUUUCUUCAUAAAAAGUAUCACUGAGUCUUCAGCUGAGCACUUAUUCUGUUGAUAAGAACAGCAAGGAUGGCGUUGCUCCUUGAGGCACGUGGCUACUACU